rnacentral:rRNA from 1 species
GAUGAACGCUGGCGGCGUGCCUAAUACAUGCAAGUCGAGCGAACGGACGAGAAGCUUGCUUUUCUGAUGUUAGCGGCGGACGGGUGAGUAACACGUGGAUAACCUACCUAUAAGACUGGGAUAACUUCGGGAAACCGGAGCUAAUACCGGAUAAUACUUUGAACCGCAUGGUUCAAAAGUGAAAGACGGUCUUGCUGUCACUUAUAGAUGGAUCCGCGCUGCAUUAGCUAGUUGGUAAGGUAACGGCUUACCAAGGCAACGAUGCAUAGCCGACCUGAGAGGUUGAUCGGCCACACUGGAACUGAGACACGGUCCAGACUCCUACGGGAGGCAGCAGUAGGGAAUCUUCCGCAAUGGGCGAAAGCCUGACGGAGCAACGCCGCGUGAGUGAUGAAGGUCUUCGGAUCGUAAAACUCUGUUAUUAGGGAAGAACAUAUGUGUAAGUAACUGUGCACAUCUUGACGGUACCUAAUCAGAAAGCCACGGCUAACUACGUG